ACCGGCGGAUGGGUGAGUAACGCGUAUGCAACCUACCUUUUACAGGGGAAUAGCCCGGAGAAAUUCGGAUUAAUGCUCCAUGGUUUAUAGAGAUGGCAUCAUUUUUAUAAUAAAGAUUUAUCGGUAAAAGAUGGGCAUGCGUAUCAUUAGCUAGUUGGUGUGGUAACGGCAUACCAAGGCGACGAUGAUUAGGGGUCCUGAGAGGGAGAUCCCCCACACUGGUACUGAGACACGGACCAGACUCCUACGGGAGGCAGCAGUGAGGAAUAUUGGUCAAUGGAGGUAACUCUGAACCAGCCAUGCCGCGUGCAGGAUGACGGUCCUAUGGAUUGUAAACUGCUUUUGUACGGGAAGAAAUAUAGUUACGUGUAAUUAUUUGACGGUACCGUAAGAAUAAGGAUCGGCUAACUCCGUGCCAGCAGCCGCGGUAAUACGGAGGAUCCGAGCGUUAUCCGGAAUUAUUGGGUUUAAAGGGUUCGUAGGCGGUUUAGUAAGUCAGUGGUGAAAUCUUGCAGCUUAACUGUAAAAUUGCCGUUGAUACUGCUAAACUUGAAUAGUAUGGAAGUAAUUAGAAUAUGUAGUGUAGCGGUGAAAUGCUUAGAUAUUACAUGGAAUACCAAUUGCGAAGGCAGAUUACUACGUACUUAUUGACGCUGAUGAACGAAAGCGUGGGUAGCGAACAGGAUUAGAUACCCUGGUAGUCCACGCCGUAAACGAUGGAUACUAGCUGUUCGGUCUUCGGAUUGAGUGGCUAAGCGAAAGUGAUAAGUAUCCCACCUGGGGAGUACGUUCGCAAGAAUGAAACUCAAAGGAAUUGACGGGGGCCCGCACAAGCGGUGGAGCAUGUGGUUUAAUUCGAUGAUACGCGAGGAACCUUACCAAGGCUUAAAUGUAGAUUGACAGGUUUAGAGAUAGACUUUUCUUCGGACAAUUUACAAGGUGCUGCAUGGUUGUCGUCAGCUCGUGCCGUGAGGUGUCAGGUUAAGUCCUAUAACGAGCGCAACCCCUAUUGUUAGUUGCCAGCGAGUAAUGUCGGGAACUCUAGCAAGACUGCCGGUGCAAACCGUGAGGAAGGUGGGGAUGACGUCAAAUCAUCACGGCCCUUACGUCUUGGGCUACACACGUGCUACAAUGGCCAGUACAGAAAGCAGCUACCAGGCAACUGGAUGCGAAUCUCAAAAGCUGGUCUCAGUUCGGAUUGGAGUCUGCAACUCGACUCUAUGAAGCUGGAAUCGCUAGUAAUCGGAUAUCAGCCAUGAUCCGGUGAAUACGUUCCCGGGCCUUGUACACACCGCCCGUCAAGCCAUGGAAGCUGGGGGUACCUGAAGUCGGUCGCC
rnacentral:rRNA from 1 species